rnacentral:snoRNA from 1 species
GGGCACUGUCUUUGAAUCUGGGUAGCCUUCUCAAUGGCUUCACAGGCUAAGCUACAGUUGCAAAAGCAAAGACCAGGGCCCGGUUUCAUCG